rnacentral:lncRNA from 1 species
UAUUUUUACAUUUCAUUGUACACGUAGCUUAGCUUGCAAGGAGCAUGGGUUACUAUAAAUACGCAACUCCUCUCUUGUAAUUGGCACUUUUGAAAUAAAUGAGAAUAGUGUUUUCUGCUUCAGAAACCAUUCUCUAUUGAAAGUCAUAGGCUAGAGAGUCCAAAGACUCCCUCUAGCCACCUUCCAAGCACAAUCUCUCACUUCCAUUUUCCAUUUCCACCGUGCUUCUUUCUCAUCAUUAACGCUACAUCACCUUUCCUCCAGUAUGCUUCUGACCAGCGGCGUUCCUUAGCCACGCGUCAUUAUUCUCUUGCCAGCAGCCCGCACCUUGAUACAUCCUAAUUUUCACUUUACUCUCACUGAACACCAUCUCAUUUUCCACAUAUCAGAAACCUCCUCUGCUAGGGUUUCCUUUUCAGCGCCUCUACUCCUUUUUCUCAUCACAAAUUCACCUCCUCAUCAUCAGUAAGGCUCAUUCUCUGCACGAAUCUUCAUCCUUCUCACCAUUUUCUUCAUUUUCAACCAACUGUUUUUCCUUUUUCUCCAUUUAUUUUCAUUUUCAACAAUUGAUCUAGCAUUUUGGCUGAUUAAACACUUCUCCUACCUUGGAUCUUCCAUUUCCACCGUUUAAAACACCAUUUCCACCGAUUAAUCGGUCAGUUUAGUGUUUCCUCCCUGUUAAUAGGUGUUUCCACCGAUUAAACCUAGGUCUAGGGUUUUUCUGGUAUUCUCUCUCGGUCUAGAGGUUCCUCAACAUUUCCCGCUG